rnacentral:rRNA from 1 species
UCGGAUUUACUGGGCGUAAAGGGCGCGCAGGCGGCCAUCUUUGUCAGGCGUGAAAUCCCCGGGCUUAACCUGGGAACUGCAUUUGUGACUGCAAGGCUGGAGUGCGGCAGAGGGGGAUGGAAUUCCGCGUGUAGCAGUGAAAUGCGUAGAGAUGUGGAGGAAUACCGAUGGCGAAGGCAGCCCCCUGGGAUGAUACUGACGCUCAUGCACGAAAGCGUGGGGAGCAAACAGG